UUAAGGGUGGCUUUUAUCAAAGUGAUAAAUGUAUUUAACUUGUUAUUUAAACACAAUUUGAAAUUAAAUUUCGUAAAACAUCUUUUACCACGACUUAAAUAUGAUUAGUAAUCUGUUAAACCUAAAUGCGGUCAAAUGGCUAUUUAACUUUACUAAACACAUUUAUCUACUACGCAUGUCAUGGCGUCAGUCGCGGCGAUCAGCUGACCGACCGGCUGUCAAGAGAACUUUUCCAUUUCUAGCAUUUUUCCUCAGUGAUGUCUAGUUGUUGUCUGUGAGAGAUUCAGAGGUCAUUGUUCAGAGGUUAUGUUGAGGUUAUCUAAUAAAUAAUGGAUUUGUGGGAUAUUUUGUUUGAUGACGAUGAAGAAGAAUUACUUCUCUAUAUGAAUAGACCUCGCUCAUUACGCUAUAUUGCAGAAAGAACUAACUUAUUUGAGACACUACCGGAUAAAAAAUUUGUUAGGAGAUUUCGUUUGACAAAACAAACUGUAUCGCUUCUACUACAAGAAAUUCAACAUCAUCUUGAAUUUAUUUCCACCAGAAAUAAUGCAGUUACUCCAAUGAACCAGUUGUUAUGCACACUCCGAUAUUAUGCAACUGGCAGUUAAUUACUUGUGGAGAUGUGAUAGGUGUGGAAGAACCAACAGCAGCUUGCAGAAUCAUUCAUAGAGUUACUCAUGCAAUAGCAUUAUUGUAUAAAAAAUACAUUAAAUCUCCUAAUACCAUUCAAGAACAACGUUUUUUUGCUCUCUAUAAUGUGCAAGUAUGGUUCCAAUACAUUGCACAAUAAAUCUUGUUCUUCCCUUGUAAAAUUAGGGGCACGAACACGAGAAGAAGUUGCUUGACUAUUCAUUU